rnacentral:tRNA from 1 species
GGCUGGAUAGCUGAGACGGCGCGAGCGCCUGCCUGAAGCGCAGGAGACGGUGGUUCGACUCCACCUCCAGCCA